ensembl:ribozyme
AAGUCAUGUAUGGGGGCCAUCGAAGGAGCGUUCACGUUGCGGUCCCUGUCAGGCUUCUGCCUGUGAAUCCUCCU